UACGGAGGGUGCAAGCGUUAAUCGGAAUCACUGGGCGUAAAGCGCGCGUAGGUGGCUAUUUAAGUCAGAUGUGAAAGCCCUGGGCUCAACCUGGGAAUGGCAUUUGAUACUGGAUAGCUAGAGUAUGGUAGAGGUGAGUGGAAUUUCAGGUGUAGAGGUGAAAUUCGUAGAUAUUGGGAAGAACACCGGUGGCGAAGGCGGCUCACUGGCCCGUAACUGACGCUCAGGCGCGAUAGCGUGGGGAUCAAACAGG
rnacentral:rRNA from 1 species